GCUGGCGGCGUGCUUAACACAUGCAAGUCGAACGGUGAACCAGGGCUUGCCCUGGGAAUCAGUGGCGAACGGGUGAGUAACACGUGGGCAACCUGCCCCAGACACCGGGAUAACCGCUCGAAAGAGUGGCUAAUACCGGAUACGACCACUUUGGGCAUCCAACGGUGGUGGAAAGGAUUCUGGUCUGGGAUGGGCCCGCGGCCUAUCAGCUUGUUGGUGAGGUAACGGCUCACCAAGGCGACGACGGGUAGCCGGCCUGAGAGGGCGACCGGCCACACUGGGACUGAGACACGGCCCAGACUCCUACGGGAGGCAGCAGUGGGGAAUAUUGCGCAAUGGGCGAAAGCCUGACGCAGCGACGCCGCGUGAGGGACGAAGGUCUUCGGAUUGUAAACCUCUUUCAGCAGGGACGAAGCGAAAGUGACUGUACCUGCAGAAGAAGCACCGGCUAACUACGUGCCAGCAGCCGCGGUAAUACGUAGGGUGCAAGCGUUGUCCGGAUUUAUUGGGCGUAAAGAGCUCGUAGGCGGUUUGUC
rnacentral:rRNA from 1 species